CCCAGACUCCUACGGGAGGCAGCAGUGGGGAAUAUUGCGCAAUGGGCGAAAGCCUGACGCAGCGACGCCGCGUGGGGGAUGAAGGUCUUCGGAUCGUAAACCUCUGUCAGCAGGGAAGAACGGUCACUGUGCUAAUCAGCAGUGAAUUGACGGUACCUGCAAAGGAAGCAUCGGCUAACUCCGUGCCAGCAGCCGCGGUAAUACGGAGGAUGCGAGCGUUAUCCGGAUUUAUUGGGUUUAAAGGGUGCGUAGGCGGGACGGUAAGUCAGCGGUAAAAAUGCGGAGCUCAACCCCGUCGAGCCGUUGAAACUGCCGUUCUUGAGUGAGCGAGAAGUAUGCGGAAUGCGUGGUGUAGCGGUGAAAUGCAUAGAUAUCACGCAGAACUCCGAUUGCGAAGGCAGCAUACCGGCGCUCAACUGACGCUGAAGCACGAAAGCGUGGGUAUCGAACAGGAUUAGAUACCCCCGUAGA
rnacentral:rRNA from 1 species